UACGGGGGUGGCAAGCGUUGUUCGGAAUUACUGGGCGUAAAGGGCGCGUAGGCGGCCUGCUAAGUCGAACGUGAAAUCCCUGGGCUCAACCCAGGAACUGCGUCCGAUACUGGUUGGCUUGAAUCCGGGAGAGGGAUGUGGAAUUCCAGGUGUAGCGGUGAAAUGCGUAGAUAUCUGGAGGAACACCGGUGGCGAAGGCGACAUCCUGGACCGGCAUUGACGCUGAGGCGCGAAAGCCAGGGGAGCAAACGGG
rnacentral:rRNA from 1 species